rnacentral:rRNA from 1 species
UACGUAGGGGGCAAGCGUUGUCCGGAUUCAUUGGGCGUAAAGAGCGUGUAGGCGGUCAGGUAGGUCAGUUGUGAAAACUGGAGGCUCAACCUUCAGACGUCGACUGAAACCCCCUGGCUAGAGUCCGGGAGAGGAGAGUGGAAUUCCUGGUGUAGCGGUGGAAUGCGCAGAUAUCAGGAAGAACACCCGUGGCGAAAGCGGCUCUCUGGAACGGUACUGACGCUGAGACGCGAAAGCGUGGGGAGCGAACAGG